rnacentral:rRNA from 1 species
AGUGAACGCUGGCGGCGUGCUUAACACAUGCAAGUCGAGCGAAUUUCAGCAGCAUAUCGCUGAAGUUAGCGGCAGACGGGUGAGUAAUACUUAGGCAAUCUACCUUCAAGAGGGAAACAACCUGCCGAAAGGCGGGCUAAUGUCCCAUAAGACCACGGGAAUGCAUAUUCCAGGGGUCAAAGCUCCGCAAGGGGCGCUAGAAGCGGAGCCUGAGUCCAUCAGCUAGUUGGUGAGGUAACGGCUCACCAAGGCUUUGACGGGUAGCCGACCUGAAAGGGUGACCGGCCACACUGGCACUGAGACACGGGCCAGACUCCUACGGAGGCAGCAGUGGGGAAUUUUGGACAAUGGGGCAACCCUGAUCCAGCGACGCCGCGUGGAGGACGAAGGUCUUCGGAUUGUAAACUCC